rnacentral:rRNA from 1 species
GGGAGUACGGCCGCAAGGCUAAAACUCAAGGGAAUUGACGGGGGCCCGCACAAGCGGCGGAGCAUGCGGAUUAAUUCGAUGCAACGCGAAGAACCUUACCAAGGCUUGACAUGAACCGGAAAGACCUGGAAACAGGUGCCCCGCUUGCGGUCGGUUUACAGGUGGUGCAUGGUUGUCGUCAGCUCGUGUCGUGAGAUGUUGGGUUAAGUCCCGCAACGAGCGCAACCCUCGUUCUAUGUUGCCAGCGCGUUAUGGCGGGGACUCAUAGGAGACUGCCGGGGUCAACUCGGAGGAAGGUGGGGACGACGUCAAAUCAUCAUGCCCCUUAUGUCUUGGGCUUCACGCAUGCUACAAUGGCCGGUACAAAGGGUUGCGAUACUGUGAGGUGGAGCUAAUCCCAAAAAGCCGGUCUCAGUUCGGAUUGGGGUCUGCAACUCGACCCCAUGAAGUCGGAGUCGCUAGUAAUCGCAGAUCAGCAACGCUGCGGUGAAUACGUUCCCGGGCCUUGUACACACCGCCCGUCAAGUCACGAAAGUUGGUAACACCCGAAGCCGGUGGCCUAACCCUUGUGGGGGGAGCCGCCGAAGGUGGGACCGGCGAUUGGGACUAAGUCGUAACAAGGUAGCCGUACCGGAAGGUGCGGCU